rnacentral:lncRNA from 1 species
AUAGUCGGGCUGGGAACAAACAAAAUGGUUCCUCAUUCGCACUGUUACAUGAAUCAAUAGAGAAGAACCAGAAAAACUAGGGCAAAUAACAACAUGCUGGACUCGCUGGACAACCAUAGUCGGGCUGGGAACAAACAAAACGGCAACAUGCCUUCCUCGGUCGCCAUGUUACAUGAAUCAGUAGGGAAGAAUCAGAAAAACUGGGGCAAAUAUAUUAUGAACAGACCAUUCAAGAAAAUGAUAGUUAUUUAUAAUAAUAACACAAAUUGAGCUAGUACCAUGCUUUUUGUUCUCCAGCUAGUUAAAAUGAGAUACUCUCAUACAAGAAAACAGAGAUACAAUAUGAAAGCUAACAGUAGGGAUGCCACAGCUUAAAUGAGCAAGCUAUUUUGUUUUUGAGAAACAAAAAAAUGCACCAAUAAUUUUUCAGAAGGUAACAGAACUUUUGUGCACACAUUUAGAUAGAAACAAGGGCUUUAACUAUACACAUUAAUUAGAACAGGAUCGCCAAACACCAAUAUAGGCUAGAAUGAAAAAAAGCACGGAGUUAGUAGUGGUCGUCCAGGGAGAUAAACAUAGAAAAGAAAACAUGAUUUCAGCAAAAUUAAAAUUGUCGAUGUAAGUUGAAUAACAGUGCAACAGAUUAGCUCUUAGCAUGGAGGAACAUCACCAAAUUAAACCAGAUGGUUGUUCAAGUUUCUAUUUGAGUAUUCAUGGUUACAGUUUGUUAUCAUCGUCUAAAUUCUCCAACAUGUACAAUAUUAAUUAAUACAGCUGAAUAUGCUACCAAUGAAGUAAACUCUAAAAGAUACAGGCAGGGCUUAAUUAACCAACCUUGUCAUCCUAUAAACACAAAUCAAACUCAACGAUAAGGUGUACAAUUAUUACCAUAUAACCCGGGAAACAUACCUAUUGUCCACACAUUUCAUAAUGUAAACAGUUAAAUACUAUAGGAAAUAUAUUGCUAAGCAUUUCUGCCCUUCUUUCAAGCCACCACCAGCAUAACACCCUCAGUAUAACAAGAUGACCACCAUCUACAGCAACCGUACCCACAAGACAACCAGGGUCGGAGAGAGUGAGAUUACCUUGGCGCCGUAAAUCUUAGAAGACAAAUCGUGUG